rnacentral:rRNA from 1 species
AAGCAUAUCAAUAAGCGGAGGAAAAGAAACCAACAGGGAUUGCCCUAGUAACGGCGAGUGAAGCGGCAACAGCUCAAAUUUGAAAUCUGGCUCUUUUAGAGUCCGAGUUGUAAUUUGCAGAGGGCGCUUUGGCGUUGGCAGCGGUCCAAGUUCUUUGGAACAGGACGUCACAGAGGGUGAGAAUCCCGUACGUGGUCGCUAGCCUUCGCCGUGUAAAGCCCCUUCGACGAGUCGAGUUGUUUGGGAAUGCAGCUCUAAAUGGGAGGUAAAUUUCUUCUAAAGCUAAAUACUGGCCAGAGACCGAUAGCGCACAAGUAGAGUGAUCGAAAGAUGAAAAGCACUUUGGAAAGAGAGUCAAAUAGCACGUGAAAUUGUUGAAAGGGAAGCGCUUGCAGCCAGACUUGCCUGUAGUUGCUUAUCCGGACUUUUGUCCGGUGCACUCUUCUGCGGGCAGGCCAGCAUCAGUUUAGGCGGUUGGAUAAAGGUCUCUAUCACGUACCUCCCUUCGGGGUUGGCCUUAUAGGGGAGACGACAUGCAACCAGCCUGAACUGAGGUCCGCGCAUCUGCUAGGAUGCUGGCGUAAUGGCUGUAAGCGGCCCGUCUUGAAACACGGACCAAGGAGUCUAACAUCUAUGCGAGUGUUUGGGUGUCAAGCCCAGACGCGUAAUGAAAGUGAACGGAGGUGGGAACCUUUUAGGUGCACCAUCGACCGAUCCUGAUGUCUUCGGAUGGAUUUGAGUAAGAGCAUGGCUGUUGGGACCCGAAAGAUGGUGAACUAUGCUUGAAUAGGGUGAAGCCAGAGGAAACUCUGGUGGAGGCUCGCAGCGGUUCUGACGUGCAAAUCGAUCGUCAAAUUUGGGCAUAGGGGCGAAAGACUAAUCGAACUAUCUAGUAGCUGGUUCCU